rnacentral:snoRNA from 1 species
GGACCCCCAUGAUAUCCAGCACUGGGCUCUGAUUGCCCCUGAAUACACAGUGCCAUCCAGGACCUU